rnacentral:lncRNA from 1 species
UUCACGAGAGCAGUGAUUUCCAGGCUUUCUUAGCAAUGUGCCACUUCCCCUGACGUACUUACCAGACAGUGAAUUUUCCAUUUUUUACAAGAAGAAAAUUUUGGUGACAAAUUAUCCAAUAACAAAAGGACUUGUGUCUACUAAGAUCGUAACAUAUAAAAAAUCAUGGCCUCAGAAGAAAUUAAGCUUGCAAAGAAUGUCCACAGCGAGACUGCGGGUGCAGAAGCUUCAGGACUCUGAUAGCCUGCUGAGGCCUGCUGGAAGAAGGGGACAAACCUCGCUACAGUUCUUGGUGUGCAGUGUGAAUAAUACAAGACGUUGAUUUCUGGAGCCCUCUGGAAUGAACUUGAGCGCCAAUAAAUUCAUUUCACUGCAUGGAAAAUUUUCUUUU